AUCAUCUCUGUAAUGUAUGUUUU
rnacentral:snRNA from 1 species